AGCUGCUCAGGAGGCUGAGGCUGGAGAAUCGCGUGAACUCGGGAGGCGGAGGUUGCGGUGAGCCGAGAUGGCGCCAUUGCACUCCAGCCUGGGCAACUAAAGCAAAACUCCACCUCAAAAUAUAUAUAUAUAACAAAAUAAAGUCAGGCUGUUAAAGGAAAAACUUGAGCUGAAUUAAAUUUAAGAGAGUUUAAUUGAGCAAAAAACAAUUCACCAAUCAGGCAGCCCCAGAAUCACAGUAGAUUCAGAGAGACUCCAGGGAUGCCUCAUGGUCAGAACAAAUUUAUAGACAAAAAAAGGGAAGCGACAUACAGAAAUCAGAAGUGAGGUACAGAAACAGCCGGAUUGGUUACAGGUUGGCGUUUGCCUUAUUUGAACACAGUUUGAACACUCAGCAGUGUAUGAGUGGUUGAAGGAUGGCCACUGGGAUUGGCCAGGACUCAGCUAUUGUUACAGGCGCAUACUCCUAAGUUAGGUUUUCAAUCUUGUCUACUUACUAAGUUAGGUUGCAGUUUGUCCACAAAGACUCAAAUAAAGACGUACAGAAUCCUUCUCAGGCCAUAUGUAGUUUGGUUUCACAAGGCCUAUUUAGAGAUUACAAAUUUCACCAAGUCCAUUGAACAACUGGGUAUUAAGGGCAUUGUGGGGGUGUGCAGGGGACCAUAAAGAUGAGUAAGACUGUCCCUGACCUCAAGGUUCACCUCUAGAAGGGAAUAUAGACAAAGCAACUCCACUUUACAGUCAUGCUGUUACCGGAAAGGGGUCUCGGUCCCCAAGAGAGGGGUCUCGGUCCCCAAGAGAGGGUUCUCGGAUCUCACGCAAGAAAGAAUUCAGGGAAAGUCCACAGAGUAGAGUGAAAGCAAGUUUAUUAGGAAAGUAAAGGAAUGAACGAAUGGCUACUCUAUAGACAGAGCAGCCCUGAGGGCUGCUGUUUGCCCAUUUUUAUGGCUAUUCCCUGAUGAUAUGCUAAACAAGGAGUGGAUUAUUCAUGCCUCCCAUUUUUAGACCAUAUAGGGUAACUCCCUGACAUUGCCAUGGCAUUUGUAUACUGUCAUGAUGCUGAUGGGAGUGUAGUAGUGAGGAUGACCAGAGAUCACUCUCGUGGCCUUCUUGGUUUUGGUGGGUUUUUGCCGGCUUCUUCACUGCAACCUGUUUUAUCAGCAAGGUCUUUAUGAUCUGUGUUUGUGCUGACCUCCUAUCUCAUCCUGUGACUCAGGAUGCCUUAACAGUCUGGGAAUGAAGCCCAGCAGGUCUUAGCCUCACUUUACUCAGCUCCUAUUCAAGACAGAGUUGUUCUGGUUCACACACCUCUGACAAUAUCACGAUCCGUGUUGCACUUGAGAGAUUAUGAGCACAGUAGAAGAACAAAGACAGGGAAGAUCAAUUCUGACCCAGGGUUGUCUGGGAGAGAAGGGAGUGUGGGUGCUUUAACUGUACAAUAAUUUCCAGACAUUUAACAGUGCUCUCUUGCCUGGAUUCUGGAAGUCAUUCUGAGAAUGCCUGUUUUCAUUAGAUUUUAAUCACCCACAGGUCAUAUAUUCCUUUAACGAAUGCCUGAUGACACCAUGCAGAAUGAAAUGCGCUUUACUGCCUGCUUGGAAUGUGUGCAGGCCUGCCUCAUGGACCCCUAGAAGUUUCCUUCCAAAAGCAGUCCAGCUUGCUCCUCCCAUGGAAAGAUCAAAUCAGGCACUUGAACUUGGACAGCCUCCUUGCCGUGGUUUUUCAGUAAGUAGAGAUGAUGCCUCAAUAAUUAGGCAGGCUGGGGGAAUCAGCCUCUCUCUUUGCUACUUGUUAGCUGAGACAUUGCCCUUUCAGAGCCAAAAGCAAUAUUUUCAUCCCUACUAACUUAGAUUCCUGGCUUGCUGUAAUUUAACAAAUAUUUUUCUAAAUAGCUACCAUGUAUUACCAUGUAUUCACAUUGGCCACCUGUGGUAGGUUGAACUAUUUAUUAUUGGUCCCAGUUUUUCACCCCUCCAUGUGUCCACACCUCUUGCCUGGGACUUUGCGCUCUCUCCCACCAAGUACUUCCUGGCCUUCCCCCAUCCUUACAUCUCCCUUCCUCCGCAGUGAGAACCCUGGCCUCCAAUAAUAUCAAUGUCUACUAUCAAAUCUACUCAUUUGCUCAAUCCUAUAAUAUACCAAAGAUAAUUUUUGUGUUGUUUUGCCCAUUUCAGUACAAAAAUCAAAUCUAAUAAAACAGAAGUCAGGGUUUGUUUGCAAUUUGCUUCCCAACCCCAACCCUGACCAAAACCAAGGACAAAUAUAUAGUGUCCUCAUACGGAUUUGUUCUUUUCUUUCCUUCAAUGUGGUUAUAUUAUUCAUCGGAAAUGCUGUUAAAUCAAUUUGUUUUGGUUUGCUUUUAAAGACAGAAUGUACUUCCCCACUCUGACUUUGGGCUUGACCAUGUGACUUGCUUUGGUCAGUGGGAUGUUGCCAGAUGUGACGCAGCAGUGGGCCCCACCUGUGUUUCUGCAGUUGGCUGUGCCUCCUUUCUUGUACUAGUGCCUUAAUCAUGAGAGGACCAUAUUCUGCCUAGCCCAGUGGUCCAAGGAAGAUGAGAGACACCUGAGGUGGGCCUGGACGCAACCCUCUGCUGGAGUGAAAGCCAACUGAUUAAUUAGCCUCAGCUGACCUGAAGACACAUGCGGUAGCAUAAAUUAUUUGGAAAUAAUUUCAAAAA
rnacentral:lncRNA from 10 species